rnacentral:rRNA from 1 species
UACGUAGGGGGCAAGCGUUGUCCGGAUUUAUUGGGCGUAAAGAGCGUGUAGGCGGCCAGGUAGGUCCGUUGUGAAAACUCGAGGCUCAACCUCGAGACGUCGAUGGAAACCAUCUGGCUAGAGUCCGGAAGAGGAGAGUGGAAUUCCUGGUGUAGCGGUGAAAUGCGCAGAUAUCAGGAAGAGCACCCGUGGCGAAGGCGGCUCUCUGGGACGGUACUGACGCUGAGACGCGAAAGCGUGGGGAGCGAACAGG